GGGAGAAGGCACCGCCGCUACCAGCACCAGCUUUGCCUGUCGAAUUGGAGAACCAAAUUAGAGAGCUGAAUGGGAGUGAUGUGAAAUAUGUGAUGCACAAGAAGUUAUAUGAGACUGAUGUCAAUGACAACAACAAUCGUCUUUCAAUGCCUGAGAAUGUCAUUCAGAGUGAUUUCCUCACAGAAAGAGAGAUGGCAAUAGUAAAUUCAAAGGAAGAUAGGAAACCUGUUGGCUUGGAAGUGAUCGUCUUGGACCCGUUCCUUAGAGAGUUCGAAAUGACCUUGAAGAAGUGGAGUAUGAAUAGCACAAGGACUUACAAUCUGACCAAAAACUGGAAACAGAUCGUAAAGCAGAACAGAUUGAAAGCAGAGCAAGAGUUCAAUAUCUGGUCUUUUAGAGUUGCUGAGAAACUAUACUUUCUACUGAGCAACAAGGAUGUCUAGGUUGCUGUUUAGUUCAUUCUUAUGUUUUCGUAGUAUUUUUGUGAUUAUUUGGAUUCUAUCUCCUACUCUGUUUAUUGCUGUUCAUUAUCUUAUGACUGUUUUUCACGCUUUGUUUCUUUGGUUUCUUUAUCGACAAUACUCUCCAAAGCCUGGAAUAGUAAGCAUGUCAAGACAAAAAAAAUUAAAAUAAAAUCAACAAUAUAAGCUUAUCAUUUUGCAUCAUUAGAAACAACUUUUGCCCGGUCAUCCCAGACUCCAUCACCAAUUCAGCAGGAACUAGUGUGUCACCUGCACUUGCUAAUUCAACUUCAGACAUAAUUCAGGAACUAGCUGAAUGUAGAAGUGUCUUUUGCAUCACUUGAAGUAUGCCUCACUCACAUAAUUCAGUUGUAAUAACUGUCAUAGUUUCAAAGUAGACAUCCGAAUACUGCUAAAUUGGAUGGUCUUAUCUAGUAUCUACUAUAGUUCAAAUUUGAAAUGGUUCUGCUUUUCACCAAUAAUCAGCUCAGGGUGUUUGUGUUUUAAGUUAACGUGUCCCGUUUAAUGGGAUUACAUGCCAAUAGGAUUAUUUAUAAAUAAGUAAAAGUUUUAUAGAAUUCCAAACCAACUUCUCUUAAAAAUCAUUGGCCCACCUAAAAUGGUGUUGAAUUACCCCAAGUGGUAACCUAGACAACUCCAUUUUUUCCUUUUUCC
rnacentral:lncRNA from 1 species